rnacentral:rRNA from 1 species
AUGGGAAAUUUUGGGCGCAACAAUACCUUCGCCACACUCUCCAGCAAGUACUUUUGUCCAAAGAUUUUCCGCGACGUCACGCGCUUCACCAACCGAUGCUCUACAUGCCGCAAAGCUAAGUCAAAAGUCCAAUCUCAUGGUUUACAUAUGCCACUUCCAAUUCCAUAUCAACCAUGGGAAGAUAUUAGUAUAGAUUUUGUGCUUGGUUUGCCUAGAACUAAAAAUGGAAAGGAUUUCAUCUUUGUUGUGAUGGACCGAUUCUCAAAAACGACACAUUUCAUACCAUCCAAUAAGAUAGACGAUGCUUCAAAUAUUGAUAAUCAUUUUUGUAGGGAAAUCUUGAGGUUGCAUGGAGUACCAAGAACCAUUGCGUUGGACCGGGAUGUCAAGUUCUUAAGCUAA